GGGCCCGCACAAGCGGAGGAACAUGUGGUUUAAUUCGAUGAUACGCGAGGAACCUUACCCGGGCUCGAACGGUGCAUGAAUAAGCAAGAGAUUGUUUAGUCCUUCGGGACAUGUAUCGAGGUGCUGCAUGGUUGUCGUCAGCUCGUGCCGUGAGGUGUCGGCUUAAGUGCCAUAACGAGCGCAACCCUUGUUGUUAGUUACCAACAGGUAAAGCUGGGGACUCUAACGAGACUGCCACCGUAAGGUGUGAGGAAGGGGGGGAUGACGUCAAAUCAGCACGCCCCUUAUGUCCGGGGCGACACACGUGUUACAAUGGGGGGUACAGAGGGCAGCCAUCCGGUGACGGAGCGCCAAUCUCCAAAACCCUUCUCAGUUCGGAUUGGAGUCUGCAACCCGACUCCAUGAAGUUGGAUUCGCUAGUAAUCGCGCAUCAGCCAUGGCGCGGUGAAUACGUUCCCGGGCCUU
rnacentral:rRNA from 1 species